GACGAACGCUGGCGGCGUGCCUAAUACAUGCAAGUCGAACGAACUCUGGUAUUGAUUGGUGCUUGCAUCAUGAUUUACAUUUGAGUGAGUGGCGAACUGGUGAGUAACACGUGGGAAACCUGCCCAGAAGCGGGGGAUAACACCUGGAAACAGAUGCUAAUACCGCAUAACAACUUGGACCGCAUGGUCCGAGUUUGAAAGAUGGCUUCGGCUAUCACUUUUGGAUGGUCCCGCGGCGUAUUAGCUAGAUGGUGGGGUAACGGCUCACCAUGGCAAUGAUACGUAGCCGACCUGAGAGGGUAAUCGGCCACAUUGGGACUGAGACACGGCCCAAACUCCUACGGGAGGCAGCAGUAGGGAAUCUUCCACAAUGGACGAAAGUCUGAUGGAGCAACGCCGCGUGAGUGAAGAAGGGUUUCGGCUCGUAAAACUCUGUUGUUAAAGAAGAACAUAUCUGAGAGUAACUGUUCAGGUAUUGACGGUAUUUAACCAGAAAGCCACGGCUAACUACGUGCCAGCAGCCGCGGUAAUACGUAGGUGGCAAGCGUUGUCCGGAUUUAUUGGGCGUAAAGCGAGCGCAGGCGGUUUUUUAAGUCUGAUGUGAAAGCCUUCGGCUCAACCGAAGAAGUGCAUCGGAAACUGGGAAACUUGAGUGCAGGAGAGGACAGUGGAACUCCAUGUGUAGCGGUGAAAUGCGUAGAUAUAUGGAAGAACACCAGUGGCGAAGGCGGCUGUCUGGUCUGUAACUGACGCUGAGGCUCGAAAGUAUGGGUAGCAAACAGGAUUAGAUACCCUGGUAGUCCAUACCGUAAACGAUGAAUGCUAAGUGUUGGAGGGUUUCCGCCCUUCAGUGCUGCAGCUAACGCAUUAAGCAUUCCGCCUGGGGAGUACGGCCGCAAGGCUGAAACUCAAAGGAAUUGACGGGGGCCCGCACAAGCGGUGGAGCAUGUGGUUUAAUUCGAAGCUACGCGAAGAACCUUACCAGGUCUUGACAUACUAUGCAAAUCUAAGAGAUUAGACGUUCCCUUCGGGGACAUGGAUACAGGUGGUGCAUGGUUGUCGUCAGCUCGUGUCGUGAGAUGUUGGGUUAAGUCCCGCAACGAGCGCAACCCUUAUUAUCAGUUGCCAGCAUUAAGUUGGGCACUCUGGUGAGACUGCCGGUGACAAACCGGAGGAAGGUGGGGAUGACGUCAAAUCAUCAUGCCCCUUAUGACCUGGGCUACACACGUGCUACAAUGGAUGGUACAACGAGUUGCGAACUCGCGAGAGUAAGCUAAUCUCUUAAAGCCAUUCUCAGUUCGGAUUGUAGGCUGCAACUCGCCUACAUGAAGUCGGAAUCGCUAGUAAUCGCGGAUCAGCAUGCCGCGGUGAAUACGUUCCCGGGCCUUGUACACACCGCCCGUCACACCAUGAGAGUUUGUAACACCCAAAGUCGGUGGGGUAACCUUUUAGGAACCAGCCGCCUAAGGUGGGACAGAUGAUUAGGGUG
rnacentral:rRNA from 2 species